AGGCAGCAGUGGGGAAUAUUGGCAAAUGGGGGCAAGCCUGAUGCAGCCAUGCCGGGUGUAUGAAGAAGCCUUUCGGGUUGUAAAGUACUUUCAGCAGUGAGGAAGGUGGGUAUGUUAAUAGCAUAUUCAUUUGACGUUAGCUGCAGAAGAAGCACCGGCUAAUUCCGUGCCAGCAGCCGCGGUAAUACGGAGGGUGCGAGCGUUAAUCGGAAUUACUGGGCGUAAAGCGCAUGCAGGUGGUUUGUUAAGUCAGAUGUGAAAGCCCGGGGCUCAACCUCGGAAUUGCAUUUGAAACUGGCAAACUAGAGUACUGUAGAGGGGGGUAGAAUUUCAGGUGUAGCGGUGAAAUGCGUAGAGAUCUGAAGGAAUACCGGUGGCGAAGGCGGCCCCCUGGACAGAUACUGACACUCAGAUGCGAAAGCGUGGGGAGCAAACAGGAUUAGAUACCCUGGUAGUCCACGCCGUAAACGAUGUCUACUUGGAGGUUGUGGCCUUGAGCCGUGGCUUUCGGAGCUAACGCGUUAAGUAGACCGCCUGGGGAGUACGGUCGCAAGAUUAAAACUCAAAUGAAUUGACGGGGGCCCGCACAAGCGGUGGAGCAUGUGGUUUAAUUCGAUGCAACGCGAAGAACCUUACCUACUCUUGACAUCUACAGAAGCCAGCGGAGACGCAGGUGUGCCUUCGGGAACUGUAAGACAGGUGCUGCAUGGCUGUCGUCAGCUCGUGUUGUGAAAUGUUGGGUUAAGUCCCGCAACGAGCGCAACCCUUAUCCUUGUUUGCCAGCACUUCGGGUGGGAACUCCAGGGAGACUGCCGGUGAUAAACCGGAGGAAGGUGGGGACGACGUCAAGUCAUCAUGGCCCUUACGAGUAGGGCUACACACGUGCUACAAUGGCGCAUACAGAGGGCGGCCAACUUGCGAAAGUGAGCGAAUCCCAAAAAGUGCGUCGUAGUCCGGAUUGGAGUCUGCAACUCGACUCCAUGAAGUCGGAAUCGCUAGUAAUCGUGGAUCAGAAUGCCACGGUGAAUACGUUCCCGGGCCUUGUACACACCGCCCGUCACACCAUGGGAGUGGGCUGCAAAAGAAGUGGGUAGUUUAACCUUCGGGAGGACGCUCACCACUUUGUGGUUCAUGACUGGGGUGAAGUCGUAACAAGGUAACCG
rnacentral:rRNA from 1 species